UACAGAGGUCUCAAGCGUUGUUCGGAUUCAUUGGGCGUAAAGGGUGCGUAGGCGGCUCGGUAAGUCGGGUGUGAAAUUUCGGAGCUUAACUCCGAAACUGCAUUCGAUACUGCGGUGCUUGAGGACUGGAGAGGAGACUGGAAUUCAUGGUGUAGCAGUGAAAUGCGUAGAGAUCAUGAGGAAGACCAGUGGCGAAGGCGGGGCUCUGGACAGUUCCUGACGCUGAGACACGAAGGCCAGGGGAGCAAACGGG
rnacentral:rRNA from 1 species